CCUACGGGUGGCAGCAGUGAGGAAUAUUGGUCAAUGGACGAGAGUCUGAACCUGCCAAGUAGCGUGAAGGAUGACUGCUCUAUGGGUUGUAAACUUCUUUUAUAUGGGAAUAAAAUGUUCCACGUGUGGGAUUUUGUAUGUACCAUAUGAAUAAGGAUCGGCUAACUCCGUGCCAGCAGCCGCGGUAAUACGUAGGAUCCGAGCGUUAUCCGGAUUUAUUGGGUUUAAAGGGAGCGUAGGUGGAUUGUUAAGUCAGUUGUGAAAGUUUGCGGCGCAACCGUAAAAUUGCAGUUGAAACUGGCAGUCUUGAGUACAGUAGAGGUAGGCGGAAUUCGUGGUGUAGCGGUGAAAUGCUUAGAUAUCACGAAGAACUCCGAUUGCGAAGGCAGCUCACUGGACUGCAACUGACACUGAGGCUCGAAAGUGUGGGUAGCAAACAGGAUUAGAUACCCCUGUAGUC
rnacentral:rRNA from 1 species